UAACUGCAGUCGAGCGGACUUGAUGGAGUGCUUGCACUCCUGAUGGUUAGCGGCGGACGGGUGAGUAACACGUAGGCAACCUGCCCUCAAGACUGGGAUAACUACCGGAAACGGUAGCUAAUACCGGAUAAUUUAUUUCACAGCAUUGUGGAAUAAUGAAAGACGGAGCAAUCUGUCACUUGGGGAUGGGCCUGCGGCGCAUUAGCUAGUUGGUGGGGUAAUGGCUCACCAAGGCGACGAUGCGUAGCCGACCUGAGAGGGUGAACGGCCACACUGGGACUGAGACACGGCCCAGACUCCUACGGGAGGCAGCAGUAGGGAAUCUUCCGCAAUGGGCGAAAGCCUGACGGAGCAACGCCGCGUGAGUGAUGAAGGUUUUCGGAUCGUAAAGCUCUGUUGCCAAGGAAGAACGUCUUCUAGAGUAACUGCUAGGAGAGUGACGGUACUUGAGAAGAAAGCCCCGGCUAACUACGUGCCAGCAGCCGCGGUAAUACGUAGGGGGCAAGCGUUGUCCGGAAUUAUUGGGCGUAAAGCGCGCGCAGGCGGUUCUUUAAGUCUGGUGUUUAAACCCGAGGCUCAACUUCGGGUCGCACUGGAAACUGGGGGACUUGAGUGCAGAAGAGGAGAGUGGAAUUCCACGUGUAGCGGUGAAAUGCGUAG
rnacentral:rRNA from 1 species